AUUUACACUGCUGUGAAUGUGAAGUGCUUCUGUUUCAGUACUGUAAUCAAUCUCUGAGGAAGACAAAGAAAAAAAAAUCCAUCCUCCUAAUUAUAUUUGAAACCUAGAGCCAAAGCUUGUGCACAGUAGUAGCGCAACCAAUCUUUAUGGGCUUCCACUGCCAAAAGGAAUCCUUGUACAUCCACCAUCACUACCGUAGUUCAUUUACAGUAAUGUCUGCCCUCAGUUAUGGGAGGUGCUGCUGCAAGAACCAGCCUAACAGAAACAGCAUUCUGGAACAGAAUGGACAAAGCCAGGUGGGCACAGCAUGGAUUGCUUCAGCCUCCGUUGGUCCCAGGAUCAGAGAAAACAACAAGGGCAGUCCAAGUGUGAAAACACAACCACAAAUACAAGAGAUUGCAUGCUUCCACGGUCUGCAUGCAGACUGACUCUAGGUGGCAUACUUGCUAAGGAACAUAUUGAAUUUUCCUGGUGUUACCAAGGUAGGAGACAAUCUUUUAUUUUUUUUUCCACCACAUGAAAACUGCAGUUAAUUUAGCACUGUUAGGAAUAAAAGUUUUAGUUUGAUUCUAUCUCA
ensembl:lncRNA